CCAGAACUCAAAGUGGGCAUUGUGGGUAACCUGGCCAGUGGGAAGUCUGCGCUGGUUCACAGGUACCUGACAGGAACAUACGUCCAGGAGGAAUCUCCAGAAGCUGACGUGGAUGCAGG